AUGAAUGACCUCUUUGAUUUAAGGGUAGCCCCACUGACCAGUCCCUAUGGAUACAAACCGACAGUCCACUAAAGUCCAUGUCCUGGGUCUCAGAGAAUGGUUUACUUUCUAACUCUGCAAUGGAAGGAAAGACCUAUUAAUACAGUAAGGCAGAUGUUCACUCAUUCCUUCAGCCAAUAUUUAUUUGAAGCUCACAAAAGCAACAUCCUUGUCUUGUUUGUAUCUGGUAUGUGAUAAGCCCAGAGGAUAGACGACACAGCACUAAACAUGGCGGACAUGUUCCCUGACCUCAUGGAGCUCAGAAGAUAAUGAGCUCCUUAACUUGCCCUUACCCUCCUACACACCACACACACAGACACACACACACACACACACACACACACACACACGGCUACCCGAAGUGGCAAAGAAACUACUUACAUAGCUAUCAUUAAAACCGCUAUAGUAGAAGACUGAAUUGAUGGGGCACAGCUUGGGGGUUUAAAAGUAUGAAGUAACUAAGAAAGUUAAAGCAAUGCUUCCAGAAACUUCUCUCACCUUCUCAGGUGAACAACGAGUGCGCAUUCACACAGAUGCCUCUAAGCAGCUGCACAGGGGCCAGAAGAAGAGGCUCAGACCAUUGUUCUCCCCUCACCUCCAGGUCAAGCGACAUACAUGGCUAGGAGAAAGAGCACUGAGAAGAGCUGACCCUUAGGAAAACUUGGCUUUAAAAUCAGGAAUGUCCGCUUGUUAUUGCCACAGUCUGACUAGGGAAUCUCAGGAGGUGGCAGGGUUUGGGUUCAUUUUAGAACAACAUGUAGAAAGAAUUGACGGGCCACCCACAACCUUAUCUGAACCUGUAAUGUCUACAAAAUUGGGCAACAAAGUUUAAAGAAAGAGCUUUUUCCUUACAGGUUUUUGGUGCCAAGACCCCUUCUGGUCCAAUUGUAACUAAGUAAAUAUAGAAGCCAAGAAAAAUUAAAUGGAAUUUUUGGAACUUGAUCCUGGAUGUGCUGCAAGCUGAGGACAGAAAUAUUUGGACUGUUGAAAGUGGGGUGUCGGCUUGUUUACUUUAGGGUCCUUCCCAUCCUACAGAACUCUGGCCAGUGUUAGAGUCAGACUGGCUUCGAGGCUCCUUGGAAAGAUCAAAGUUCAGCGUGAUCUGUCCAAAUACUUCUCCUUUUACAAUGUAUCAUAUGGAGAAAAUUAGGUGACAGCCCCCUUUUAAGACAGAACCGCUUCAAAAACUCCAUGUACCAGAAAAACUGGUUAGAAAAGUGGAAUUUGAAACCAUGUCAAAGAAACAGAUGCACAAGUACUGAUAAGUGCUCUCUAAGGACCUUUAACUCCAACAUUAGUUGGCUCUCUGAUUGCAAGGAAGCUCUACAAGAUGCCUACAGUUGCCUUUAAUGAUCUUGGAACUUACUCUAUAGUCUCCUCUUCAUGGGAAAAUGGAGUUUUAUGGAGAGAUCAACCUGGGAACUGUUAGAUCCUCUCUAUGCUUGGAAGAUCCUUGUAACCCAUCACAGAGAGCAAUUCAGAGAAGAAAAUUUGCACACUCUACUCCAAAGAGGACUACCCUGUGCCCUGGGUCAUUAUAAUCACCCCCAAAAUGAGAAUAAUAAAAGCAUGUUGUUAUUGAGAA